UGGACUGACGAAACUCAACGGUUGGUGGGGACUAUCAGCAACAUACUAAGACAGUCAUCGACAGAGCGUCGUACCGUGUGGGUGAAAGACUGCAGUCUCAGCGAGAUCUUACAACCGUCGUGUUCGGAACAUCAACUUUGCUUGUAUACAUCAGGAACGUGGAAGCCAACGCUCCUGACAGUCUAACGCCAACUUGGCCUCGUCUCAACAGGACGAUCGUAUCGACGAAUUUGCCAUGAAAAAACUACCAAAAGCAAAAGCAAGGGAAGAAAAAUUCCUUCCCGCAAGGAUGAUCACACGACAGACGAUGAAGCAGCGUCGGGACGAGCAAUAUAAUACGUGAACGGGACAGGAUUUCCGGGCACGUGCGGUGAUUUAGAAUAAACGCAAUAAAGCAACCCGCUGGCUGCCGGCAAGGGAAGAGAGAGGGCAAAUUCAUGCGAGACAUACGUAUUAUAAUAUCACGCAUAAAGUUUCUUUACCCCGUUGCAACUUUAUGACUUCAUAGGAGCCACGGGGCUGGAAUACCGGCGACACUAUAGCGGGACACGCGAUAAAGGAAACAGGAUUGCCCGAUCGAUAACCAAUAUCCAUGGAAACUGGAUCCACCUCGUGACCGGGCUGCUCGUCUCACUCCUUUUGCCAGCCACACAUCCUUUCGCGAUCGUUGCGAUUCGUGCCACGGCGUAUGCUAUUAUUACGCGUGUACAGGUUCGAGUUGGCUGAGAUUUGGCCCUGCGGGAUCUCCAGCGAACUCGAUCGAUCGCCACGCAAGAUCUUGCGAACCGCUCUAAUUGGUAUCUCGUGAUUUUACGUUCGGUUGGAUCGCGAUAAGAGAAAAAUUCGAUCGUGAUUUAUGACGACCCCUGGAGGGACUUUUGCACGUUGAACGUGCAGCGCGUUUGUGAUUAAAGUUGACAGGAACCUGCUAUUGUCAUUUACAGUUGUAAAAUGUCCGAUGGUAGAUAAACACAUCUAAAUAUAUUGUAUUAAUAAUAUAUGAUAAAACUUUUUAACAAACGAUUUUGUUGCACUAUGGAACCUAAAGAGACUCUUGAACGUGUUCAGGUUGACCGAUGGAGGAACGAGUGGAUGAAUUUGUAAUAGAAAAAUAUAUUGAAAUAAGUACAGGUAUAAGUAUAACCUGUAUAGAUGUUAGCCUUGGACUGGGUCUUUGAUUAAGGGAUAUGAAUAUACAGAUCCCACAAAGUUUCACUAUUAUAUGUAUUAUUAUACUAACUAUUAUAUACAUUUUCUUUCUCUUUUUUAUGUAUUGUUGAGGUUGACUGAUAGAGGAACGAGUGGACGAAUUUGUAAUAGAAAAAUAUAUUGAAAUAAGUAAAGGUAUAAGUAUAGUGCGUGCUGAUCCAGAUCUUCAUUCUUACAACGUCACAAUACAAUAGAAGAAGCUAUGAUAGCGAGCAGGUUUAUAUAUUUAUAGCAAAGGACAUUACCAAAAAGUUGACAUUGUGGCACCAGCUGAAGGCUACAAGAAACAGCAAUAGAAAUCUACUCGUAGCUCUUUUCUUUCCAGACCUUGUAACCCAAAACGUAAUUUAUAUUCAAAGGCACGAUAAUAUGGACCUCUGCUUAUUUGGAAUAUUUUUUUGUUUCACUAAAUUCUAUUCUCUUCGUAACAGCGGUGUGCAGGUCACGGAUAUACAAAAGUAAAGAUGUAGAGUCUUUCUUCAAGUAAUUACUUCAACAAGAACGCUCGAUAAAAUUGUUGUUAAGCCACGUGGAUUUCCAGAGGCCGCUAUUCCUAACCGUCGCUCGUGGCAUCGCAGUAUCGCGAGCGAACCGUCUCAAGUAGCUCAACACAUACAAUGUAGCGACCAGCAUCAAACAGGGAGUUCGAAAAACGUCGAUUCGUUUCGUUAUUUCAAACACUCAUAAGGUGACACGCGUGAUCAUGGCGUGAUCAGUGGCGUGAUCGGUGGCGUAACCCGAGCAUGGUGGGGAUCGUCCCCCAUGAACCACAAAGGGCCCAUCGAAGGGCAAUCAGUAUCGAUCGAGAAUCCAAACCAAAAACACUAACGUCUUCGACGAAUUACAAGUCGUCCUAAUACAAAAUACAUUGUAAAGUCGAGUCGAAUCGUUACACCAAAUUAACUGUAUUAUCUGUCAAAUAAUUUGUGGCGCAUCACUAUCCUGUUGUUUAUAUAUAUAUAUAUUGUCAAAUAUAUAAUUUUUGUUGACUCUGUUAA